AACUUCAAACACUAGCACACAUGCAGAUAGUAAACAGCACACACUCACACGCAUCACACAUAGAAGGUGAACAUCAAUCUGCAGCACAACCUCUGGAUUAGAGGAUCUUCAAUGUCUGUUCAAGCACAUAUCAAAUCUGUUGUCCUAGGGCACAGGUGUUACUCUCCCUUUUUGUCAAAAAUGUUGCCAAAGCAACACUUAAAAUUACAGACCAAAAC
rnacentral:lncRNA from 1 species